ensembl:snoRNA SNORD16 Small nucleolar RNA SNORD16
UGCGGUGAUGAUAUAAGCUUUUCUCUUAUCCAGUGUUCAGUGACAGCUGCCUGCUGUCAGCAUCUGGCGCUGUUGAACUGAAGACACUUGAUGCUGUGCA